GAUGAAGAACGCAGCGAAAUGGGAUAAGUAAUGUGAAUUGCAGAAUUCAGUGAAUCAUCGAAUCUUUGAACGCAUCUUGCGCUCCUUGGUAUUCUGAGGAGCAUGCCUGUUUGAGUGUCAUUAAAUUCUCAACUACACUGACUUUGAAUUGGUGUGGCUUGGAUUUGGGGGGAAAAUUGUUGUGGGCUUUUUGUAUAGUCUGCUCCCCUGAAAUUGAUUAGCGGUACCUUUGUGGAACUGUCUACAGGUGUGAUAAUUAUCUACAUCUUAGACAUCUGCUGGAAUGCUGCUUUCUAAACCUUACUUGUAUUGACAAUCUUGACCUCAAAUCAGGUAGGACUACCCGCUGAACUUAAGCAUAUCAAUAAGCGGAGGA
rnacentral:misc_RNA from 1 species